UACGUAGGGGGCGAGCGUUGUCCGGAAUGACUGGGCGUAAAGGGCGCGUAGGCGGUCUGAUAAGUUAGGAGUGAAAACCCAGCUUUCAAGGUUGGGCCUGCUUUUAAAACUGUCAGACUUGAGUGCGGAAGAGGUAAGUGGAAUUCCCAGUGUAGCGGUGAAAUGCGUAGAGAUUGGGAGGAACACCAGUGGCGAAGGCGACUUACUGGGCCGUAACUGACGCUGAGGCGCGAAAGCGUGGGGAGCGAAC
rnacentral:rRNA from 1 species